rnacentral:rRNA from 1 species
GCUCAAAUUUGAAAUCUCAUAGGUUUUCCUGUGCGAAUUGUAGUUUAAAGAAACGUUUUCGGGAGCGGCUUGGGUAUAAGUCCUUUGGAAAGAGGCACCUAAGAGGGUGACAGUCCCGUGCAUGAUCCAAUGUCCGCUUCUAUGUGAUACGUUCUCAAAGAGUCAGGUAGUUUGGGAUUGCUGCCUAAAAUGGGUGGUAAAUACCAUCUAAAGCUAAAUAUUGGCGAGAGACCGAUAGCGAACAAGUACCGUGAGGGAAAGAUGAAAAGAACUUUGAAAAGAGAGUUAAACAGUACGUGAAAUUGCCAAAAGGGAAACGCUUGGAACCAGUAUUGUUUGCAUGUAAUCAGGUACACGUUCCGCAAGGCUCACGUGUGCUGCACUUGCGUGUAGACAGGCCAACAUCAGUUUGAUUUGAGGUACAAAGCCUGAGAAAGGUAGCUUGGAUUCGUCUGAGUGUUAUAGUCUCUGGUCAUGCCUUGGAUUGGACUGAGGACUGCAGCGUUUUUUGGGUUACCUGGUGGCUGCUUGAAACCAACCUUUAGACAGCAUGCUGACUUUGGGCGGGCGUAGGGUACUUGUCAGGAUAACCACACCAGCGCUUAGGAUGUCGGCGAAAUGGUUCCAAACGACCCGUCUUGAAACACGGACCAAGGAGUCUAACAUAUAUGCGAGUAUUUGGGUGGCAAACCCUUAUGCGAAAUGAAAGUAAAUUUGGUGCGAUCUUUAAUGCGCAGCAUCGACCGGUCUGGAUUCUUUUGAUAGAUCUGAGUAAGAGCAUACAUGUUGGGACCCGAAAGAUGGUGAACUAUGCCUGAAUAGGGUGAAGCCAGAGG